rnacentral:rRNA from 1 species
GAUGAACGCUGGCGGCGUGCCUAACACAUGCAAGUCGAGCGAAGCGAUUUAACGGAAGUUUUCGGAUGGAAGUUAAAUUGACUGAGCGGCGGACGGGUGAGUAACGCGUGGGUAACCUGCCUCAUACAGGGGGAUAACAGUUAGAAAUGACUGCUAAUACCGCAUAAGCGCACAGCAUCGCAUGAUGCAGUGUGAAAAACUCCGGUGGUAUGAGAUGGACCCGCGUCUGAUUAGCUAGUUGGCGGGGUAACGGCCCACCAAGGCGACGAUCAGUAGCCGGACUGAGAGGUUGGCCGGCCACAUUGGGACUGAGACACGGCCCAG